rnacentral:lncRNA from 1 species
AUCAUCAUUGUUCUUGUUGUUGUUGUUGUUGUUGUUGUUGUUGUUGUUGUUGUUGUUGUUGUCGUCGUCGUGGUCGUCUUCGUCUUCAUUGUUUUUGUUGUUGUUGUUGUUGUUAUUGUUUUUGUUGUUGUAGUAGUAGUAGUAGUAGUUAUUGUUGUUGUUGCUGUUGUAGUAGGAGUAGUGGUAGUAGUUGUUGUUGUUGUGGUUGUUGUUGUCGUCGUC